GUUGAAGAGCAGUUCAAAUCCAGUAAUUGUGGGCAGUCUGAGCAGUAUGAUACGCACUCAUCCUGUCCUGAAAGAGGAACAGGAUGAGGGCGUAUCAUGCUUACUCCUUCUUUUGGUCGUCACUACCUGCCUGCUACUGCUUCCAGUUUGUAAUGUAGGGGGACAGGAUAAGGGUGUUGGUGUGGUUCACGCCUGCCCCCUGCUGCUGCGCAUCCAUGAUCACCGGGUUUGCCUGUCUCCUUUUCCAGUUUGGUAUGUAGUGGGACAGGAUAAGGGUGUUGGUGUGGUUCACGCCUGCCCCCUGCUGCUGCGCAUCCAUGAUCACCGGGUUUGCCUGUCUCCUUUUCCAGUUUGGUAUGUAGUGGGACAGGAUAAGGGUGUUGGUGUGGUUCACGCCUGCCCCCUGCUGCUGCGCAUCCAUGAUCACCGGGUUUGCCUGUCUCCUUUUCCAGUUUGGUAUGUAGUGGGACAGGAUAAGGGUGUUGGUGUGGUUCACGCCUGCCCCCUGCUGCUGCGCAUCCAUGAUCACCGGGUUUGCCUGUCUCCUUUUCCAGUUUGGUAUGUAGUGGGACAGGAUAAGGGUGUUGGUGUGGUUCACGCCUGCCCCCUGCUGCUGCGCAUCCAUGAUCACCGGGUUUGCCUGUCUCCUUUUCCAGUUUGGUAUGUAGUGGGACAGGAUAAGGGUGUUGGUGUGGUUCACGCCUGCCCCCUGCUGCUGCGCAUCCAUGAUCACCGGGUUUGCCUGUCUCCUUUUCCAGUUUGGUAUGUAGUGGGACAGGAUAAGGGUGUUGGUGUGGUUCACGCCUGCCCCCUGCUGCUGCGCAUCCAUGAUCACCGGGUUUGCCUGUCUCCUUUUCCAGUUUGGUAUGUAGUGGGACAGGAUAAGGGUGUUGGUGUGGUUCACGCCUGCCCCCUGCUGCUGCGCAUCCAUGAUCACCGGGUUUGCCUGUCUCCUUUUCCAGUUUGGUAUGUAGUGGGACAGGAUAAGGGUGUUGGUGUGGUUCACGCCUGCCCCCUGCUGCUGCGCAUCCAUGAUCACCGGGUUUGCCUGUCUCCUUUUCCAGUUUGGUAUGUAGUGGGACAGGAUAAGGGUGUUGGUGUGGUUCACGCCUGCCCCCUGCUGCUGCGCAUCCAUGAUCACCGGGUUUGCCUGUCUCCUUUUCCAGUUUGGUAUGUAGUGGGACAGGAUAAGGGUGUUGGUGUGGUUCACGCCUGCCCCCUGCUGCUGCGCAUCCAUGAUCACCGGGUUUGCCUGUCUCCUUUUCCAGUUUGGUAUGUAGUGGGACAGGAUAAGGGUGUUGGUGUGGUUCACGCCUGCCCCCUGCUGCUGCGCAUCCAUGAUCACCGGGUUUGCCUGUCUCCUUUUCCAGUUUGGUAUGUAGUGGGACAGGAUAAGGGUGUUGGUGUGGUUCACGCCUGCCCCCUGCUGCUGCGCAUCCAUGAUCACCGGGUUUGCCUGUCUCCUUUUCCAGUUUGGUAUGUAGUGGGACAGGAUAAGGGUGUUGGUGUGGUUCACGCCUGCCCCCUGCUGCUGCGCAUCCAUGAUCACCGGGUUUGCCUGUCUCCUUUUCCAGUUUGGUAUGUAGUGGGACAGGAUAAGGGUGUUGGUGUGGUUCACGCCUGCCCCCUGCUGCUGCGCAUCCAUGAUCACCGGGUUUGCCUGUCUCCUUUUCCAGUUUGUUAUGUAGUGGGACAGGAUAAGGGUGUUGGUGUGGUUCACGCCUGCCCCCUGCUGCUGCGCAUCCAUGAUCACCGGGUUUGCCUGUCUCCUUUUCCAGUUUGUUAUGUAGUGGGACAGGAUAAGGGUGUUGGUGUGGUUCACGCCUGCCCCCUGCUGCUGCGCAUCCAUGAUCACCGGGUUUGCCUGUCUCCUUUUCCAGUUUGUUAUAUAGGGGGACAGGAUAAGGGUGUUGGUGUGGUUAACUCCUGCCCCCUGCUGCUGCGCAUCCAUGAUCACCGGGUUUGCCUGUCUCCUUUUCCAGUUUGUAAUGUUGUGGGACAGGAUAAGGGUGUUGGUGAGGUUCACGCCUGCCCCCUGCUGCUGCGCAUCCAUGAUCACCGGGUUUGCCUGUAGAGUCAGGUCAAGCAAAAAGACUCGGUUUUCGAAAUCGAAAAAAAACAAUAUUUUUGAUUGACAAGUCCGGACUCGACUUCGGCCAAUUUAUCUAAAAUCGAGUAAAAGUCUUGAGUGCCUUCGGCUCGAGUUCGGACUCGCCUCAGCAAUAGUACCCAGCAAUAGUAGUUCCCUCCUCUCUCUUUCUCUUUCUUUCUUUCUCUCCUUUUCUGGAAGCUUGUUUCGUUGAGAUUUAGACCGGGGUAUGUCGCUCAGGAUCCUCUCCAUAAGAAUGUUAUUGUUUUGAAGUUACCGUGGGGUCAAUGAGCUAUGAGGUUUGGAAGCGCCUGUAAGAGUUGGAUGACCAAUGAAGCUUCAUCCCCUUUCAUCAGUCACAUAAAUCUUUUGAACUGGCUGGUUGGGCAAAUACUUCGCCUAUUCUUCAAUCAUGGAAUCGUUCAUAGUCCCUGCUCAAACUGAGCCUACUGUUGGUUUUGUGGAUUCAUUUUUGCACAAAUUGCCCCGUGAUUCUCAGUUUUCUCAAAGUCAAAUUAUUCCUAUAUAUUCAGCGAAUGCUCUAACUUCUAACCAAGACCAACUGACUUUUGUGAUACCAAAACAAACCGGUGGCAACACAAUUCAUUUGGCCAAUAUUAUAGUGGAGGUAGUAUAUUGCAACCAAUGACUUUUAAUCCUGCAUCAUGAAUGGUUUUGUUGCUUUUGGCAGGCUGGCAUUAAGCUCACAACUGCCUCUGGAAAUCCGCCCAACAACUGGUGGACCUGGAAUUGUAGCUAACAUUCUUCCCAGGUACAGUUAAUGGUUCUCACCCCUAUGGGUUCAAUGAUUCAUUUUUAUACUUAUCCUUUUCUUUUACUGCAUGUUCAAGGAGGUCAGGUUGAUUGUAAAUGGAACCCUUUUGAAUCCUCAGUGAGACAAUUGUCAGUUUGUCUCUUACUUAUCUAUAACAUUGUCUUACUGUAACGACGCUAAGAUGAGCCAAAAGUGCAUGGAGGGCUAUUACCAGGAUGAUCUCUCUGGCGGUGUGCAAUCAAAUGAUAUAAAUAACGCAGGCUUUAUGGAAAGACGUCAACGAUUUUUAACUAAAUCGAUUCCUCAGACAUAUAAAGCAUAUCCCUCAAUUUUUAUGGGCCAACUACAAACCGGCAUUUUUUUCAAUGAGGAAGGCAUGCUACCUGAUGGCUGUGAUGUUACAAUCGUUUUUACCCAGACAAAUAUUUCCGUCCCACAUAGGAAAUGUGUGUUUAUGUGUGAUUUAAUAUUUUUUUUUGUACUUAGCUAAUGAAUUUCGAGCCUUUAUCUCUUACGAGACGGAUGAUAUUGUGGUGACAUUGGUCUCACUCAAGCUGCACGUAAAAAUAUCUGCCCUCAUGCCCGAAUUAGUGAAUAAACUGGAAGAAAAAAUGAA